rnacentral:rRNA from 1 species
CCAAUAGCGUAUAUUAAAGUUGUUGCAGUUAAAAAGCUCGUAGUUGAAUUUCGGGACCAAUUUGUUGGUCGUGCCUCGGUACGUACUGGCAUUAUUGGUUUCUCCCUUCUGAAGAACCUCGAUGUCAUUAAUUUGGUGUCGUGGGGAAUCAGGACUGUUACUUUGAAAAAAUUAGAGUGUUUAAAGCAGGCAUACGCUUGAAUACAUUAGCAUGGAAUAAUGAAAUAGGACGUUUGAUUCUAUUUUGUUGGUUUCUAGGAUCGACGUAAUGAUUAAUAGGGAUAGUUGGGGGCAUUAGUAUUCAAUUGUCAGAGGUGAAAUUCUUGGAUUUAUUUAAGACUAACUACUGCGAAAGCAUUUGCCAAGGAUGUUUUCAUUAAUCAAGAACGAAAGUUAGGGGAUCGAAGACGAUCAGAUACCGUCGUAGUCUUAACCAUAAACUAUGCCGACUAGGGAUCGGAUGAUGUUAAUUUUUUAAUGACUCAUUCGGCGCCUUACG